rnacentral:rRNA from 1 species
AGUAAGAGACGGGAAGGGGCAGUUUACUGCAACGGAACAAUUUUUACUUUAGUGGCGGACGGGUGAGUAACGCGUGGGUAACCUGCCUUAUACAGGGGGAUAACACUUAGAAAUAGGUGCUAAGACCGCAUAAGCGCCCAGGGCCGCAUGGCCCAGGGUGAAAAACUCCGGUGGUAUAAGAUGGGCCCGCGUCUGAUUAGCCAGUUGGCAGGGUAACGGCCUACCAAAGCGACGAUCAGUAGCCGGCCUGAGAGGGUGGACGGCCACAUUGGGACUGAGACACGGCCCAAACUCCUACGGGAGGCAGCAGUGGGGGAUAUUGCACAAUGGGGGAAACCCUGAUGCAGCGACGCCGCGUGAGUGAAGAAGUAUUUCGGUAUGUAAAGCUCUAUCAGCAGGGAAGAAAGAAGACGGUACCUGAGUAAGAAGCCCCGGCUAACUACGUGCCAGCAGCCGCGGUAAUACGUAGGGGGCAAGCGUUAUCCGGAUUUACUGGGUGUAAAGGGAGCGUAGACGGCAAGGCAAGCCUGGAGUGAAAGGCGGGGGCCCAACCCCCGGACUGCUCUGGGAACUGUCUAGCUAGAGUGCAGGAGGGGUAAGUGGAAUUCCUAGUGUAGCGGUGAAAUGCGUAGAUAUUAGGAGGAACACCAGUGGCGAAGGCGGCUUACUGGACUGUAACUGACGUU